rnacentral:rRNA from 1 species
GAUGAACGCUAGCUAUAGGCUUAACACAUGCAAGUCGAGGGGAAACGGCAUUAUGUGCUUGCACAUUUUGGACGUCGACCGGCGCACGGGUGAGUAUCGCGUAUCCAACCUGCCCUUUACUUGGGGAUACCCCGUUGAAAGACGGCCUAAUACCCGAUGUAGUUCAUUGAUGGCAUCAGAUAUGAAUAAAAGAUUUAUCGGUAAAGGAUGGGGAUGCGUCUGAUUAGCUUGUUGGUGAGGUAAAGGCUCACCAAGGCGACGAUCAGUAGGGGUUCUGAGAGGAAGGUCCCCCACAUUGGAACUGAGACACGGUCCAAACUCCUACGGGAGGCAGCAGUGAGGAAUAUUGGUCAAUGGGCGCAAGCCUGAACCAGCCAAGUAGCGUGCAGGAAGACGGCCCUAUGGGUUGUAAACUGCUUUUAUACGAGAAUAAUUUGAUGCACGUGUGCGUUAUUGCAUGUAUCGUAUGAAUAAGGACCGGCUAAUUCCGUGCCAGCAGCCGCGGUAAUACGGAAGGUCCAGGCGUUAUCCGGAUUUAUUGGGUUUAAAGGGAGUGUAGGCGGUUUGUUAAGCGUGUUGUGAAAUUUAGGUGCUCAACAUUUAACUUGCAGCGCGAACUGUCAGACUUGAGUACACGCAACGUAUGCGGAAUUCAUGGUGUAGCGGUGAAAUGCUUAGAUAUCAUGAAGAACUCCGAUUGCGAAGGCAGUAUACGGGAGUGUAACUGACGCUUAAGCUCGAAGGUGCGGGUAUCGAACAGG